rnacentral:rRNA from 1 species
UACGAAGGGGGCGAGCGUUGUUCGGAUUUACUGGGCGUAAAGGGCGCGCAGGCGGCUCAUUUUGUCAGGCGUGAAAGCCCCGGGCUUAACCUGGGAACUGCGUUUGAUACGGAUGGGCUAGAGUUCGGGAGAGGAGAGUGGAAUUCCCAGUGUAGAGGUGAAAUGCGCAGAUAUCAGGAAGAACACCCGUGGCGAAAGCGGCUCUCUGGAACGGUACUGACGCUGAGACGCGAAAGCGUGGGGAGCGAACAGG